GACGAACGCUGGCGGCGUGCCUAAUACAUGCAAGUAGAACGCACAGUUUAUACCGUAGCUUGCUACACCAUAGACUGUGAGUUGCGAACGGGUGAGUAACGCGUAGGUAACCUGCCUGGUAGCGGGGGAUAACUAUUGGAAACGAUAGCUAAUACCGCAUAAUAUUGAUUAUUGCAUGAUAAUUGAUUGAAAGAUGCUAUUGCAUCACUACCAGAUGGACCUGCGUUGUAUUAGCUAGUAGGUGAGGUAACGGUUCACCUAGGCGACGAUACAUAGCCGACCUGAGAGGGUGAUCGGCCACACUGGGACUGAGACACGGCCCAGACUCCUACGGGAGGCAGCAGUAGGGAAUCUUCGGCAAUGGACGAAAGUCUGACCGAGCAACGCCGCGUGAGUGAAGAAGGUUUUCGGAUCGUAAAGCUCUGUUGUAAGAGAAGAACGGGUGUGAGAGUGGAAAGUUCACACUGUGACGGUAUCUUACCAGAAAGGGACGGCUAACUACGUG
rnacentral:rRNA from 1 species